ensembl:rRNA 5S_rRNA 5S ribosomal RNA
GUCUAUGACAACACCACUCUGAACAAACAAAUGUUCAUCUGAUCUCGGAGGCUAAGCAGGGUCGGGCCUACUUAGUACUUAGAUGGGGAAAUCACAGAAGGUAAGUAAUAAAGCUG